rnacentral:rRNA from 1 species
GAUGAACGCUGGCGGCGUGCCUAAUACAUGCAAGUCGAGCGAACGGACGAGAAGCUUGCUUCUCUGAUGUUAGCGGCGGACGGGUGAGUAACACGUGGAUAACCUACCUAUAAGACUGGGAUAACUUCGGGAAACCGGAGCUAAUACCGGAUGAUAUUUUGAACCGCAUGGUUCAAAAGUGAAAGACGGUCUUGCUGUCACUUAUAGAUGGAUCCGCGCUGCAUUAGCUAGUUGGUAAGGUAACGGCUUACCAAGGCAACGAUGCAUAGCCGACCUGAGAGGGUAAUCGGCCACACUGGAACUGAGACACGGUCCAGACUCCUACGGGAGGCAGCAGUAGGGAAUCUUCCGCAAUGGGCGAAAGCCUGACGGAGCAACGCCGCGUGAGUGAUGAAGGUCUUCGGAUCGUAAAACUCUGUUAUUAGGGAAGAACAUAUGUGUAAGUAACUGUGCACAUCUUGACGGUACCUAAUCAGAAAGCCACGGCUAACUACGUG